rnacentral:rRNA from 1 species
UGGGGAAUAUUGCACAAUGGGCGCAAGCCUGAUGCAGCCAUGCCGCGUGUAUGAAGAAGGCCUUCGGGUUGUAAAGUACUUUCAGCGGGGAGGAAGGGAGUAAAGUUAAUACCUUUGCUCAUUGACGUUACCCGCAGACGAAGCACCGGCUAACUACGUGCCAGCAGCCGCGGUAAUACGUAGGUGGCAAGCGUUGUCCGGAUUUAUUGGGCGUAAAGCGAGCGCAGGCGGUUUCUUAAGUCUGAUGUGAAAGCCCCCGGCUCAACCGGGGAGGGUCAUUGGAAACUGGGAGACUUGAGUGCAGAAGAGGAGAGUGGAAUUCCAUGUGUAGCGGUGAAAUGCGUAGAUAUAUGGAGGAACACCAGUGGCGAAGGCGGCUCUCUGGUCUGUAACUGACGCUGAGGCUCGAAAGCGUGGGGAGCAAACAGG